rnacentral:rRNA from 1 species
GACAGAGGGUGCAAGCGUUGUUCGGAAUUACUGGGCCUAAAGCGCACGUAGGUGGUCCACUAAGUCGAGUGUGAAAUCCCCCGGCUCAACCGGGGAAUGGCGCUCGAUACUGGUGGGCUAGAGGUCGGUAGGGGUGAGCGGAACUCCUGGUGUAGCGGUGAAAUGCGCAGAUAUCAGGAGGAACACCGGUGGCGAAGGCGGGUCUCUGGGCCGUAACUGACGCUGAGGCGCGAAAGCGUGGGGAGCGAACAGG